UCUAUGGCCCAAGGACGUUCCUUGGCAACUUGUUGAUUAGUGAUUAAUUAGAGGACGUUCCCUAAUUAAUCUAAGCUUAAGGAGGGAUUUGGUUGGUGAGAAGCAUCUUCCACCUCCAUAACUAAUUUAUUGAAUCUAAUGAAAGAACCUUUGUGUCAAUGAUCAAUCCCAACAACUAAAGUGAAUCCAAUUCUUCAACUAGGUUUUUCUCAU
rnacentral:lncRNA from 1 species